GGAGUUAGCCGGUGCUUCUUCUGUGAGUGAUGUCCUUCCUGCCGGCUAUUAACCCGCAGGCCUUCUUCCUCACUGAAAGUGCUUUACAACCCGAAGGCCUUCUUCACACACGCGGCAUGGCUGGAUCAGGGUUGCCCCCAUUGUCCAAUAUUCCCCACUGCUGCCUCCCGUAGGAGUCUGGGCCGUGUCUCAGUCCCAGUGUGGCUGAUCAUCCUCUCAGACCAGCUACGGAUCGUCGCCUUGGUGAGCCGUUACCUCACCAACCAGCUAAUCCGACAUAGGCUCAUCCGAUAGCGCGAGGCCCGAAGGUCCCCCGCUUUCCCCCGUAGGGCGUAUGCGGUAUUAGCCUGGGUUUCCCCAGGUUAUCCCCCACUACCGGGCAGAUUCCUAUGCAUUACUCACCCGUCCGCCGCUCUCCACCAGGGAGCAAGCUCCCCGUGCUGCCGCUCGACUUGCAUGUGUUAGGCCUGCCGCCAGCGUUCAAUCUGAGCCAGAUCAAACUCUGA
rnacentral:rRNA from 1 species